rnacentral:rRNA from 1 species
AACGAACGCUGGCGGCAUGCCUAACACAUGCAAGUCGAACGAGACCUUCGGGUCUAGUGGCGCACGGGUGCGUAACGCGUGGGAACCUGCCCUUAGGUUCGGAAUAACUCCCCGAAAGGGGUGCUAAUACCGGAUAAUGUCUUCGGACCAAAGAUUUAUCGCCUUUGGAUGGGCCCGCGUUGGAUUAGCUAGUUGGUAGGGUAAAAGCCUACCAAGGCGACGAUCCAUAGCUGGUCUGAGAGGAUGAUCAGCCACACUGGGACUGAGACACGGCCCAGACUCCUACGGGAGGCAGCAGUGGGGAAUAUUGGAAAAUGGGCGAAAGCCUGAUACAGCAAUGCCGCGUGAGUGAUGAAGGCCUUAGGGUUGUAAAGCUCUUUUACACGGGAUGAUAAUGACAGUACCGGGAGAAUAAGCGCCGGCUAACUCCGUG